GGGGGCGAAAUUGGCUUCGACGGGGGUCUGAAACUUUUAGUAGCGAGCCGUUGUGAGGAACAACGAUAAAAGCUUCAACAAAAACAAACGAUAACGAAAAUUACGCGUUAGCUGCCUAAGCUGCAGCUCAUCUAUUGAAAGAGCCCCACGGCUUUCAAAUAGGUGUCAAAUUCAGUGGGAAACGAAACUCUGCAAGUUGCCAUAACAGAGGGGGUAUCAAUGGCAAUAUAGUUUGAAAAUCCUGUUAAUUGGAGUUUUAAACCGAAUCCCAAAUAAUUAACUGCGCUCGGAGAAACUGACUGGGAAGGGCUUUCGGACGUGGGUUCAACUCCCACCGCCUCCACCA
rnacentral:tmRNA from 1 species